rnacentral:rRNA from 1 species
UACAGAGGGUGCAAGCGUUAAUCGGAAUUACUGGGCGUAAAGUGUGCGCAGGUGGCUUCGCAAGUCGAGUGUGAAAUCCCCGGGCUUAACCUGGGAAUUGCGCUCGAAACUACGGAGCUGGAGUAUGGCAGAGGGAGGUGGAAUUCCACGUGUAGCGGUGAAAUGCGUAGAGAUGUGGAGGAACACCAAUGGCGAAGGCAGCCUCCUGGGCCAAUACUGACACUCAUGCACGAAAGCGUGGGGAGCAAACAGG